UGCUUGCAUCUCCUCCUUUCAAACAUAAGGGACAAGAACUUGGAACUCACUCAGCUGUGGGCGGCUGGAAUGAAAGAGCUAUAACACAUUCCUGCUCACCGGACUACAGGAGAAAGACAGCUAUAACACGCUCCCACUGGCUGAGCUACGAGAGUAAAGAGCUGCAACUUUUCUUGGGGCCCAAACCUUGGGACUCCCCAAGCAAGAGCUGUAACACCACUUGGGGCUCCGCGAUUGCUGGCAUCUCUGAGGUUUUGGGCACCACCAACCUUCGCCUAUUCUAGACGCCUGCGCCCUAUACAGAAGCCACUCACAGCACGCCUGAUUCAGGCUCAAGCUGAGCAUAGAGCCAAGGCAGUCAUGGGAUCCGGGCCAGGGAGUGAACUGAGUGCAGGCUGCUGGGCUGAGCAGGCAGAGCGAGUCCAGCUGGCCCUAGAAAGGCCAGGCCAGAGGCAGCCGUGGCCACAGAGAUUUCCAGGCAGUGCUGGCCACAGAGAUUCCCAGCUGGCAAAGUGGCACCAAAGGAAUCCUGUAACAAUAUGAGACCCACCAUAGUCACCUUUUCUUUUUUUUCUUUUUCUUUUAUUUUCUUUUUAUCUGCCAGGACAAUUGGGCAUAAUACAGAUGAAGGCGUUCUAUCGUUUUUUUAUUACAGGGUAAUGAUGACACAGAAGUGUCAGCUGACCAACAAUGAAAACACAGCCAGAGCAGGAAAUAAACCUUUGUGGCAAGUGACUGCAUUUUGUUGUUAUUACAGAAGUAUUGCCUAAUAACUUCCAGCUAAAACAAUAUUGCAGAUAUGAUUCUUUUGAUUUAUGACUUUUGCCUGAAUGAUAUUAUAGUUGAAAAUAAUUCAGUUGGGGGACAUGUGCAC
rnacentral:lncRNA from 10 species